rnacentral:lncRNA from 1 species
CAAAAAGAAGAAGGAAUCUAAGUUUCCGAGAGCGACGUUGUCUGAAAAAGAGGGAGGCGGGAGGCGGGGGCGAGGGGAGGCGGAGGCAGCAAAUGACCGCGACCCCGCGGCAACUGGCAAACUCCUCGGCUCCCGGCGCCGCCGCCACCGCCGUGGUCCCCACUCGAAGCGCACGCCGCCUCGGCUCGCUGGCUCCAGGGAGUCGUCUCGGCGGGACAGGAAUAGAGCGCAGGGAGCUCGGGAGGAAGGCUGCGCGCAAGCGAGGGACGGAGAGCCAUCGGCCGCCAGGACAGGGCCGGAGGGACGAGGCGACACGCGCGCGACGCAGGACAAAUCGGAGCUUGGGAAAUCUCCCCGUCCCCCAAGCUUCAGAGGGGGGUAAAAUCAGAAAAUGUGUGUGAUGGUGGGAGAGAGAUCCGGGCGCGGCGACUCCUCGCAGCGCAUCCGGCUCCCGCACCCACCCGUGGAUCUGGCCACGGCUGUUGCGGACUCGUCUCGGGAAAGCGGAGGCCGAGCGCGCGUAGGGGUGCGUGUCUGGCUGGGGGUGCGCAGUGGCGGAAACAAGACAGGAGGCGGCUUGGGAAAAAGUGGAGCAGAAAUGGAAAAAUACAAACUCACCCGCUGCAAAUGGUCUCUCGGUGCAAACUAAGGUGUUUUCGGGCCUUUCCCCGCGCGCGCCCACUCCCGCCCGCGCGCGCACCCCGCGCACACACUCACUCGCGCACACACGCGCGCACACACGCACUCCCGGGCGAGGGCCGGGCCGCCGCGAGUACAGCGUGCAACCGCCACACAAUAAAUAACAAUAGAUUCCUCCGCUCCGGACUAGCUUCCCGGAGCCCAGCCAGCGCCAGUGGCGGCGGCGGCGGCGGCGGCAGAGGCGCGGGCAGCACCGGCCCGGGGGCGCACCCCGGCCCGACUCUCUAUCUCCCGCAGGGGUCCCCUCUCCGCUUCACGCACCCCGUUGGGCACUCCAGCGGCCCUCCGAGCGGGAGCGGCUCCCUCUUUGCCGUUCGCCGGGGCGCUGGCGCCCACCCCCCUCCUCCCUCCCCA